rnacentral:tRNA from 1 species
GGUGACCGAAAUGUAGGUGAUAAACUUUUAAUUUAUUCAUGAGUGCUCUCCC